rnacentral:lncRNA from 1 species
CAGCAAGUUUGCUUUGCAUUUAAGCCAAUGCAGCACACAGUUCCAUACAUUUUCUCUCGUCAACAAAUGACUGUAUGCAAGGUGUUGUUUGUCAAAAAACUUUACAUGUUGUGGGGAGAGCUCAAUACAUCACAAUUCCAACAACUUUCCAUACAGUCAUUUGUGGGGAGAGCUCAAUACAUCACAAUUCCAACAACUUUCCAUACAGCCAGUAAUGACUUCUGUAUUUGCUUAUUUCAUAUGCAUAUUCUAUUAGAAUUUGCUUAUUUGGCCAAGAUUUCUGCAACAACUUGAUACC